rnacentral:rRNA from 1 species
GACGAACGCUGGCGGCGUGCUUAACACAUGCAAGUCGAACGGUGAAGCGCCUUCCUUUUUGGUGGGUGUGGAUGAGUGGCGAACGGGUGAGUAACACGUGAGUAACCUGCCCCCUUCUUCUGGAUAACCGCAUGAAAGUGUGGCUAAUACGGGAUAUUCUGGGUCUGUCGCAUGAUGGGUCUGGGACAGAUAUUGUUUCGGUGGGGGAUGGGCUCGCGGCCUAUCAGCUUGUUGGUGGGGUGAUGGCCUACCAAGGCGGUGACGGGUAGCCGGCCUGAGAGGGUGGACGGUCACACUGGGACUGAGACACGGCUCAGACUCCUACGGGAGGCAGCAGUGGGGAAUAUUGCACAAUGGGCGCAAGCCUGAUGCAGCGACGCCGCGGGAGGGAUGGAGGCCUUCGGGUUGUGAACCUCUUUCGCCAGUGAAGCAGGCCUGCCUCGUUUGUGGGUGGGUUGACGGUAGCUGGAUAAGAAGCGCCGGCUAACUACGUG